GCCUUUCUAAAUAUAGUAAAGUAGGACAUUUCAUAAAAUUGAAACGAUUUAGAGAAGAUAAGCACGCCUUGCCCAAGGAUUGACACGUGCAAAUUGAGAAAUGGUUCUAAGUUAC
rnacentral:snRNA from 1 species